GACAGAGGUGCCGAGCGUUAGGCGGAAUCACUGGGCUUAAAGCGUGUGUAGGCGGACCGUUAAGUACCUUGUGAAAUCCCACGGCUCAACCGUGGAACGGCUGGGUAUACUGGCGGUCUUGGGCCACUCAGGGGCGAGCGGAACAAGUGGUGGAGCGGUGAAAUGCGUAGAUAUCAGGAGGAACACCGGUGGCGAAGGCGGGUCUCUGGGCCGAAAUUGACGCUGAGGAGCGAAAGCGUGGGGAGCAAACAGG
rnacentral:rRNA from 1 species